UUCUUGUCCCUUUCUUUUCCCCUCUUCUCAUAUCUUGGUUGUCCAUUUCAUAGAGAUGAAUUGAGAUGACAAGAUAACUUUUUAUGUUGUUAUCUUUUUCUUUUUACCUUUGCUUUGGUUGGGUUACUGUCGAGUAGAAACUACUUGGAUAAACCUGAAGCCAUUGGUUAUCUAAUUAGCUCUUAUGGUUUGCUGCUUCCUUUGCUUUGUGAAUCUAAGGAGUGCGUCUUUGUUUCUUGUAGAUUAGCUCUGGAUUAGUUGGAUUAAUGCAACAAAGAACAUUUGGAUCUUAAUGAGUACUCAGAAACCUCUUAUAUACGUAACAGCAUCGCCCUUUGGCUAUAAUUACAGCGAUCUUUUUAGGUUUUUUCUUUUCUUUUGAAGUCGGAGGCUCCUGUUCAGUCAUUCUUUGAGUUGUUUUCAAGCAUGAUACGAUUGGUAGUCAUCGAGUUGUUUCAAAUUAUGGUUUUAUCUAUCCAAUACUUGAUUCUCUAUGCGUACUAUGUUUGACAAUCUCUGAGAAUGUGAACCAAGGAAAUAUGAGAUGAAACAGAAGGAUGAGAAUUCCAUGCUGACCCUCUGUAUGUCGUAUCUUUUUCUUUAAAAACACCACAGCAGAGGAAGGACCAUCAAAAAAGACAUCGCCGCCAUUGUUUCUCUUCUCUCUGGAUGAUGUAAAGCUCCAUGGAAUGCUGCUCUGGACCGUCGAUUCAGGAAUUGGAUCGAAUGCAAAGUAUUAAACCCUCAACGGCGCUUCUCUUCUUUCCCUUCUUCUGUGGAGGAAAUAAUCCAAGAUGAG